rnacentral:rRNA from 1 species
CAAUAGCGUAUAUUAAAGUUGUUGCAGUUAAAAAGCUCGUAGUUGGAUUUGUGGCGUACGGUGUGUUCCGGGCACUUGUUGUCUGAGUAACCUGCUGUUGCCAUCCUUGGGUGGAACCUGUGUGGCAUUAGGUUGUCGUGCAGGGGAUGCCCAUCAUUUACUGUGAAAAAUUAGAGUGUUCAAAGCAGGCUUAUGCCGUUGAAUAUAUUAGCAUGGAAUAAUGAGAUAGGACUUUUUCGCUAUUUUGUUGGUUUGCGCGAAGAGGUAAUGAUUAAUAGGGACAGUUGGGGGUAUUCGUAUUCCAUUGUCAGAGGUGAAAUUCUUGGAUUUUUGGAAGACGAACUACUGCGAAAGCAUUUACCAAGGAUGUUUUCAUUAA